rnacentral:rRNA from 1 species
UACAGAGGGGGCAAGCGUUGUUCGGAAUUACUGGGCGUAAAGGGCGCGUAGGCGGCCUGCUAAGUCGAACGUGAAAUCCCUGGGCUCAACCCAGGAACUGCGUCCGAUACUGGUUGGCUUGAAUCCGGGAGAGGGAUGUGGAAUUCCAGGUGUAGCGGUGAAAUGCGUAGAUAUCUGGAGGAACACCGGUGGCGAAGGCGGCAUCCUGGACCAAUACUGACGCUGAGGAGCGAAAGCUAGGGGAGCAAACGGG